rnacentral:rRNA from 1 species
AUGGACAGCGAAGCACCCGAGAAAGUGCCAGCACUAGCUUCUAGCAAGGAGGGCAACAAAAAGCAAGUGACUAGCAACAGAAAAGAGGAGCAAUCAGAAACCAAGACUGUCAUUCCUCCUAGAGGAAAAAGACAAAAGAGAAAGGACAAAACUCAACUCAUCAGCGACGGUGCUAGCUUGAAGCGGCAGCAGCCAAGUCCUCUAAUGAUACUCCCAGCAGCAGUUCGACGCGCCGACAAUGAUGUAAAUAAAGCCAGGAAGAAAAACAAAAGACAACGGUUGGAAGAAGAUGAGGAUGAUGCCAGCAAAGAGUCAAAGCGUGAUGUUGCCGACGACGAUGAUGGCACAAAACACGAUGAUGAUGUCAUUUGUACAGAGGGCGAUGGCGCCACAGGGGACAACAGUGGCGCCGCAGAGGACAGCAACGAUGAUAUAAAAACAAGGCAGAAGCGCACAAAGAGAAGAAAGAUAAGUGGAAAAGAAUUGCCAGCACCAACGGAUGAUGAACAGGAGGCAACAACAAAUAAGGACAAAUGCGAGAUCAAGGUAGGAGCAGCAUUUGAUAAUGUCAAUAAAGCAUAG